rnacentral:piRNA from 1 species
AGACUGGAAAGGCGGACGGCAGU